rnacentral:rRNA from 1 species
UGGGCGUUAAGUUGCAGGGUAUAGACCCGAAACCCGGUGAUCUAGCCAUGGGCAGGUUGAAGGUUGGGUAACACUAACUGGAGGACCGAACCGACUAAUGUUGAAAAAUUAGCGGAUGACCUGUGGCUGGGGGUGAAAGGCCAAUCAAACCGGGAGAUAGCUGGUUCUCCCCGAAAGCUAUUUAGGUAGCGCCUCGUGAAUUCAUCUCCGGGGGUAGAGCACUGUUUCGGCUAGGGGGCCAUCCCGGCUUACCAACCCGAUGCAAACUGCGAAUACCGGAGAAUGUUAUCACGGGAGACACACGGCGGGUGCUAACGUCCGUCGUGAAGAGGGAAACAACCCAGACCGCCAGCUAAGGUCCCAAAGUCAUGGUUAAGUGGGAAACGAUGUGGGAAGGCCCAGACAGCCAGGAUGUUGGCUUAGAAGCAGCCAUCAUUUAAAGAAAGCGUAAUAGCUCACUGGUCGAGUCGGCCUGCGCGGAAGAUGUAACGGGGCUAAACCAUGCACCGAAGCUGCGGCAGCGACGCUGAUGCGUUGUUGGGUAGGGGAGCGUUCUGUAAGCCUGUGAAGGUGGCCUGUGAGGGUUGCUGGAGGUAUCAGAAGUGCGAAUGCUGACAUAAGUAACGAUAAAGCGGGUGAAAAGCCCGCUCGCCGGAAGACCAAGGGUUCCUGUCCAACGUUAAUCGGGGCAGGGUGAGUCGACCCCUAAGGCGAGGCCGAAAGGCGUAGUCGAUGGGAAACGGGUUAAUAUUCCCGUACUUGGUGUUACUGCGAAGGGGGGACGGAGAAGGCUAUGUUGGCCGGGCGACGGUUGUCCCGGUUUAAGCGUGUAGGUGUGUGUUCCAGGUAAAUCCGGUUCACUUUAACACUGAGGCGUGAUGACGAGGCACUACGGUGCUGAAGCAACAAAUGCCCUGCUUCCAGGAAAAGCCUCUAAGCAUCAGGUAACAUCAAAUCGUACCCCAAACCGACACAGGUGGUCAGGUAGAGAAUACCAAGGCGCUUGAGAGAACUCGGGUGAAGGAACUAGGCAAAAUGGUGCCGUAACUUCGGGAGAAGGCACGCUGACACGUAGGUGAAGUGAUUUACUCAUGGAGCUGAAGUCAGUCGAAGAUACCAGCUGGCUGCAACUGUUUAUUAAAAACACAGCACUGUGCAAACACGAAAGUGGACGUAUACGGUGUGACGCCUGCCCGGUGCCGGAAGGUUAAUUGAUGGGGUCAGCGCAAGCGAAGCUCCUGAUCGAAGCCCCGGUAAACGGCGGCCGUAACUAUAACGGUCCUAAGGUAGCGAAAUUCCUUGUCGGGUAAGUUCCGACCUGCACGAAUGGCGUAAUGAUGGCCAGGCUGUCUCCACCCGAGACUCAGUGAAAUUGAACUCGCUGUGAAGAUGCAGUGUACCCGCGGCAAGACGGAAAGACCCCGUGAACCUUUACUAUAGCUUGACACUGAACAUUGAGCCUUGAUGUGUAGGAUAGGUGGGAGGCUUUGAAGUGUGGACGCCAGUCUGCAUGGAGCCGGCCUUGAAAUACCACCCUUUAAUGUUU